CUUGCAAUUUUUAAAAAAGCGCCACAUCGCUUCUCGGCCUUUUGGCUAAGAUCAUGUGUAAAAAAGUGCCACAAGUUUUCUUCUUGGUGACUCUAAGUGAGU
rnacentral:miRNA from 14 species